AACGAACGCUGGCGGCAUGCCUAACACAUGCAAGUCGAACGAGAGUUUUUAACUCUAGUGGCGGACGGGUGCGUAACGCGUAAGAACUUACCUUUUGGUGUGGGAUAACAGCGGGAAACUGCUGCUAAUACCGCAUAGUGCUGAGAAGCUAAAAGUGAAAACUGCCAAGAGAGAGGCUUGCGUCUGAUUAGCUAGUUGGUGGAGGUAAAUGCUCCCCAAGGCGACGAUCAGUAGCUGGUCUGAGAGGAUGAUCAGCCACACUGGGACUGAGACACGGCCCAGACUCCUACGGGAGGCAGCAGUGAGGAAUUUUCCACAAUGGGCGAAAGCCUGAUGGAGCAAUACCGCGUGAGGGAAGACGGCCUGUGGGUUGUAAACCUCUUUUUCUCAGUAGAAGAAUAAAUGACGGUAAUCUGAGGAAUAAGCACCGGCUAA
rnacentral:rRNA from 1 species